rnacentral:rRNA from 1 species
AUAGGGUUGGCCGAUGGCUGAUUAGCUAGUUGGUGGGGUAAAGGCCUACCAAGGCGACGAUCAGUAGCUGGUCUGAGAGGACGACCAGCCACACUGGGACUGAGACACGGCCCAGACUCCUACGGGAGGCAGCAGUGGGGAAUUUUGGACAAUGGGCGAAAGCCUGAUCCAGCAAUGCCGCGUGUGUGAAGAAGGCCUUCGGUUGUAAAGCACUUUCUCUGGGAGAAAGUUGUGAAAGCAACCUGACGGUACAGUCGUGGAGG